rnacentral:lncRNA from 1 species
UCCACCUUCGGCGGCACCUUCGGCGGCCGAACCUCCCCUCCAGAGACGAAAGUCCCAUCCUUCGGGGGCAGGUUUAGGCAGCCGAAACCACCUCCUCAACACGUUCGGCGGCCGAACCCUUCUUCGGCGGCCGAAGCUGGGUUCUCCAGUUAGGCAGAACCUAGCUCACCUCAUGCACAACUUCCCCCAAACCUCACUCAACAUGCAGCUCAACACACAUAACAAGCAUAUACUUAAAGAUAUGCACAAAGGGGUCCAAAACUACCUAAAAACCCCAACAAACAACACCCAUAACACAUAAACAUACUCAUGCAUAAAAACCCUCAAAAACCUCCUUUUACACCUCACCAUGCAACUCUACCCUUCCCCUCCAUAAAACUUGC